UAUUGGGCUACCCUGCUGUAGAGGACUAUGAUUUGACAGACAUCAUACAAACACACUACAUCACAAUUCAGCUACUUCACAAAUAGUGAUCGAAGCUGACUUCACGAAGGAAUUUGGUGUUAUUUGAAACAAUCAAGAUGAAUGGAAAAACAUUGACUGCAGUGUGCAUGUUAAUGGCCACAAUAAACUGUGUUAUAACACAAGACAACACAACUACAGCUAACACAGAAUCAGUAACAAAUGUCACAAAUUUCAAUGAGGAAUCAACUACAGCUUUAGCAGGGUCUAC